GACCGAAAAAGGAGAAAAUGAGGAAACGAAAAAGGAAGAAGACUGAAGCCAACUUUGAUUACGACGUUGUCGUAUAAAGUAAAUAAAUUGCUGUGGAAAAUCGACGCAAUAAAUAUUUUCAAAUUAUCAACG